CACUGUUUUCCAGAGCGGCUGCACCAAUUGGCAUUCCCACCAGCAGUGCAGGAGGGGCCCGUUGAGUAUUUAACAGCAGCUGCACGCCAGGCGGGGGGAGCUGAGUCAAUGCACGUCAUCACACAAGGGAGGAGCCAGGACAAGGCAGAGCCGGGCCCAAGGCCUGAGCACCAGUGUGGUUUGGAGAGCUGGGAGUGGUCCUCACUCAGCAGGUGAGGGGCUCCCACUCACACGCAUUGGCUGCGGGCUCGAUGUCCUCACUGUAGAUGCCCCGGGAAUCGGUGCUGUCAGACUGGCUCCCAUUGAGAACACAACAGGGAGGGUCCCCGGCCACUGGCGCUGCCCAGGAAUGUGCUAGAACAAGGAAACAGAGGAGGAUCUCCUACUGCAUUGUGGGACGGAGACAUCUUUAUGACAUCCAUUAGAGAUCCCAUAUAAAUAGUCCUAACUGCAAAUAGUCCUGUUGGAUGAAGGAACAACAGUCAUGCAACAGAAAAGAAAAUAGCACCAUGUAAUCUGUGGACAAAGGAGCUGCUUCCCUCUGGGCAUUGCAUCUAUAUCCAAGGACAUGCAGAAAGCAAACAGCAAAGUAUACUCUGGAAGCGCCCUUCUUCCCAAGUACCUCUCGCUGGCUGCUGUGGGUCCUGGGGCCACCCAGCUGGAAAAAAGACUGGGCCGUCACAGGAAGUCGUGGGGGGAAUGGCUCUCAGGUGGGAGCUGGGUUGGCCUGCCCCAUGCAGACCGUGUGGUGUGGUCCUGUAGGAGCUAAGCCAGCAGCCUGCAGUCCCCUUCAGCAUGUGGCCACCAGUUCAAAUUGGCACCAGGGAGCAGUGGGGUCAUGACCUCCGUGUGGGCAGUUUUGGCUGUGGAAGUUGGGUUCACCUUGCUGGGCGGUGGGUGGCUGUGGGUCGAGGUCCUAGGUGCCAUUCCUGUGAGCUGGAAGGUCCUGUGGAGUCCCUGCAGCUGAGAGUAGGGGAGAGCAGCAACCGCCCCAGGAAGGGUGGGCCAGGAGGGGGCCGGGCAACCAUGGUGAGUGUGUGUGCCACCCUGAGGCUGGGGGGCUCGAGGAUCGAAGAAGAGAGUGUGGCGGGGUCACUGUAAGGGCCUUCUCAGUGGUCAGUCAUGUGGGGCUGGGGAGUGUGAUCUGGGGGCUGCCGUCAUCUGGGUGCGAAAUGGCGGCCUCUUCCAGGAUGCUAUCCUAGCAGUGUGCCCUGGCUGGAUUGUGUUCUCAUUCAGGGCAGCAUGGGGUUCCCUGGGAUGCACCCCCAGAUGGGUGCGUCUGGUACUGUGCAUGGAGGGAGGGCUGUGUGCACUGAAGCUUCAGGGUGCUGACCUCUUGGACCUGGAGAAGUGGGGCUUUUGUCGUGCCCAGGAGCACGAGCUUAUUGGUGCCCUACCCUACUGGGGGUUCCAGUGCAGGGGCUCCUCUGGGCCUGGACCUUGCAAAUCUGGGUCCCGUGUGCCCUGUGCCCCCUCCAUCACCAUCGGGGACCAGUGUUCCUGACCACAGGGAGCCCAGCCCUGUCUCAAGCUCCAGCUCGGUCCUGAGCCCUACUGCAGGUCCCCAGGGCCUCAGACUCCCCGGGCUCCCCCAUCUGAGGCUCCCCCUCCCACCAGGGGGCAUCCUUGCCAGUCCCUGGGUCCCCAUCACCAAGUCCUGGAUUCUACUCCUCUCCACCUGCAGCUAGAGUCCCUCGUCCUCCAGGAAGGGGUCUGACUGACAGACACAGCUCCCACUGCAUGUGUGCAAACGUCUGCACAACCCCAGGGCUGCGUGUGCCCCCCGUGCUCACACCCCAGGAGAGAAAUUUCAGGGACACCCAUGGAGGGAAUGUCCAGCUUGAAGGUAAAACACUGGAAAACCUCC